AUACAAAGUAGCAUUUAACCAUAAACAAGAAACUUUGCGAGCAAAAUUUCCACAAUUAGAAGAAAAAAAGUGUAUUAAUGGCAAAAAAAACUACUUCACAUAAAAUUUUAGAAUACUGAGAUUAACCGCAGUAUGGCCUUGUAAGAUUUUGAUACUAAGCCAUAAUUUUUGCUUCAAUGGCACAUAAAAUACAAGGGCUUAUCAAAUUUUGGAAAACUGAG